UUUAAACACAAUAAGUUAUCGGGUUAAACUUUGAUCGUCCAUUUUAUUUUUAAAAAAAUUGAUUAAUAUUUUUAUUGUUAUUAUAUGAUAAAAUAUAAAUAGUUUUUUACGUGUGACUUAUGUUUUUUUUAAAAUAAAACGAACAAUUAAAGCUAGAUAUAGAAACUCAUGACUGCACUUGAA
rnacentral:pre_miRNA from 1 species